rnacentral:misc_RNA from 1 species
UAAAGGCAGAUCAGAUCAAAGUCUUCCCUCGUCCACGGAGUCAAUUUUCCUUUGUGUAAAACGCCUAACACGCGCAAAUCACAGAGUAACAUCAAAACGGUUUCAAAGCCGGUUAACGCUUUCGCGUGACAAUGAUGACAUAAUCGAAGAGAUACUCAUACCGAUAUUUAUCAAUCAACACUUGAUAUAACUUGUGUAAUGAGUGUUUGAGUUGAAACAAAAUACGCAAAAACAUCGUCUUCCGAAAACAUGCUAAUCUGCGAUAAUGGGACCUUGGAAUUCAUGCGGCGAGCCGUCUACGUAAACAUUCCUUGUAUAACCCAGCAUAUCACCGGCUCAAGAGGCGACAACAACGGUGUGAACUGGACAGCUGAAGCAGUGAUGCCUUCGCAUGCUCUGAAUAUCACCUGCUCUAAUAAGCGUUUAUUGAGGAGAAUUGCAGGAGUUUUCUACGUGGCAGUCACAAUUGUAAUAGUCACCGUUUGUCUCCGUGAUUGGUCCCAGACCUGGAGAAUUGUUUCAUCUCCUCCAGCGAGGCAGCCACAUUCGUUAAAUGUCUACAGUGAGGUACGGCUUUUAAAGAAACCGACAAGGGCAAGUGUGGAGAAGACAGGGGCAACAGUAACAAAAAAUACAGAAAUUAUAGAGAGUUCGCCCGUGGAUUUAGAAAGCACUCACAGCACAGUCAGUGCAUCCACAAUCGAGGACCGACUUCCUUUUGAGCAUAAAACAACUCUCACCUCCACAACAAAAUGCAGUCAGCAUUAUUUUCUUCUUAUUCUUGUCUCUUCUUCUCCAGCGUAUUUCGACAGACGUAGAACAAUACGACAAACAUGGGCUGUUGAUAACUCCAUCAACACACGUUGGAAGACAGUGUUUUUGCUCGGCCAGUCCCGAGACAAAAAUCACUCAGAGCUCCUUCAACGCGAAGGUGCGUUUUACGGCGAUCUCGUGCGUGCGAACUACUACGAACACUAUUGGAACCAAACGCUUAAGAUUGAGAUGGGUUUUGAGUGGGCAGCUAGGUAUUGUAGCUUUCAGUUUUUGCUCAAAGCGGAUGAUGAUGUUUUUAUCAAUCCACCGGCCGUCAUCGCUAUCCUAAACAGAGCAACGACUCCAAAAGACAAACUUUAUAUGGGAUUUGUGUAUAGAAAUCCUUUGGUCAAAAGAACCGGGAAAUGGUCGUUAACUCGAGAGGAGUACAAAACAACACAUUAUCCUGACUUUUGCGCCGGGCCAGGUUAUAUUUUAUCAUCCGACGUUGUGACUUUGUUUGUCAGUAUUUUUGGUGGCAUUCCGCGGUUUAAAUUUGAUGAUGUUUAUGUCGGGAUGCUCGCCGCAAAGAUGGGGCUUAAUGCCGUUCAUGACAGGGGGUUCCAAACACCGCCAUACUUACCUAAAACGUGUGUUUUAGAUGACAACACUUUAGUCCGACAUGGAGCCGUGGGGCAGUGUUUGACUGACCUUUUCCAAAAGUCUCAAAUCAAAGGAAUGUCACCCUAACUAAUGGAUUUAUCCUGAUCAGUUAUGUUCUUAAUGAUCGCUAACAACCUUUGACAUGGAUAGACUGCGAUUAAGCGUCACGACUACAGAAAAAAGCGUGGUUUUCCUUGUUGAAACGACGCCUGUAAACGGCACUGGCGAAGGUUCAAAGGAAGAACAAGCGGCGCGGUUUAUUUCAGAAACUACGAAACACACUCCCAGGAGUUCGUGUCUGAUUUUACUCUCGAGUUAGGGUUAAUCCGUGCCGGUCGAUAUUGACAGGUAAUCUAUUUUGAGCCCAUUGGCUGUUUCUUUCAGGUGCUGACAAGGAGAAUCUACUUAACAAUCAAGAGCACCUGUACUUGUUGAUCAUUUAACAAGUGGUGUUGAUGUCUUCUAACUACUUUUGAGGUCGUGAUUCGGGUCUAGACACAUCAAAAACAUCAACACACUUGUAACAUAUAAUCCGGAAGUUCGUACAAGGAGACGCUCCGCAGAUCUUUGUUGAUCUGCGAAAAAAAAAAAAAACAGAAACAACUUCAGCCGGAAAGAAAAAGCCCUCUUGGUGAAAAGCCGAAAGAAAUCGGUCGAAUUGAAAAAAUAUACUCAAGAGAAGGGAGUAGCAGCAGCGGAAGGAUCUUUGGUCUAUUUCGCUGCUGUUUCAGCUCAUUUGGUCAGCGAGGAUUAACGUCGAAGAAUUCAUAGAAUUUAGUAAAACAUUUCUAAAAUGUAGAUUCCUGUUACUUGACAAUUCAUUGAUUAAAUAUUACGUCUCCAUCCCUGUUUAAUU